GCCAUAUCACGUCGUAAAACCGAUUCUCGUACGAAUACCAAAGUUAAGCUAGUCCGAUCCUGGUCAGUACCUAGAUGGGUGAACGCUUGGGAAUACUAAGUGCUG